AAACUUUCAACAACGGAUCUCUUGGUUCUGGCAUCGAUGAAGAACGCAGCAAAAUGCGAUAAGUAAUGUGAAUUGCAGAAUUCAGUGAAUCAUCGAAUCUUUGAACGCAAUUGCGCCCGCCAGUAUUCUGGCGGGCAUGCCUGUUCGAGCGUCAUUU
rnacentral:rRNA from 1 species